AUGAGACCCAUUUCCUUGUUGAAACAACAGAGGGAUAAAGCCAGGAGGAACCGGGAAGACCGAAGAGUCUCGCAGAGCCGCUGUGAAUGGGAAGUGAUCGCGGAUGAUCUUCAACUUUCAUCAGGAAAAGGUAAGAAAACAAAAAACAAAAGCGGAGCCCCUGGCUGCCCGGCAGGCCCUCCCUGGGGCCUCUGCCGCCUGCUUCCCACCUGCCUUUGGUGGAGUCCACAACCAUCCCCUUCGAUCACCUUGAACGAAAUAUUAUGCACAAAAUUUAAUAGCUUCAGGACAGGUCCUUUCAUAUAUGCCUUGAAAUUCUUCUUUCAUUUUCUGCAUCAGUAUAUUUCCUUAAAAGUCAUGUCGGCAGAAACGAACUGAAAUAUGAAAAAAAAACCAAACCACAUACACGCAUCUAUUUUGCUGUUAACAACAAGGUAAGAUUAUCAGUUUCUUUUCUAUUUAGAAAAUGGAUUUUAUUUAACAUAUAAAUAUUUAGAAUGCCUUUGGUUUAGUUCAUUUAAGGAACAGCUAAAUAUAUAUAUAUAUAUAUAUUUUUUUAUUUGUCAUAUGUUUUAAUCUUUGUUUUGUUUCCUUCUUUAUGCAUCUGUGAAGUGUAUCUGACUAUAUUACACAGUAUUACUGUAUAGCAUAAUAUUACUCUAUUAUUUACAAUGUAGGUACAUGUCACUGCAAUUCUGCUUCUUUGUCAGUGUGCUUAGCUGUACUAGGACAAAAAUCUCAUUGUACCAAAAAGCUUACACUGUUCCAAGAAGAUCUGCUGGAAAUUUUAUUUUUUCAGAUGUGCCCCCCAAUUCUCAUCCCAGUUGUAGUUUUUGGCUUACACCUCCCCACCGCCAUUUAACUUCUCUGGGAACCCCAUUACUUUUGUCCAAACUCACGCUAUGACCUGUGCUACUCAGAAAUUUUUGAGAUGAAGUCAUUGCUGGUUUGAGUUACUGGAGAGACUUUAAUUCGUCCAGCUGGGCUGGCUCAAGGCAGUCCCAGUGUUAGGCCCUGACAGCCACCCUCAGUGGGAAAUCUGAGCAGGGACGGGAAGGGAGGGGCAUGCAGAAAGACGCGUACUAGACGGGUGAAUGUUGCAGAAACAGUGGAUGCAAGUGCGGUCAGGAGGAAUGAGAUAAACUCAUUAGCCUGGCAAGAUCUUUGUGAAAAACACCUUUCUUUUAGCCUAGGGUUUUAAUGAGAAAUCCUGGGAGACGAUCGUUUACUAUAGUACCAAACGGAUAACAUAGAUGUGUUAGUAUAUAUGUAUGCUUUAAGGGCUUGUCACUUUAAGACGAGUAAGGCAUUUUCUUUGAUAAAAGAGUGGCCUGGGUAUAUAUUGUUUCAUUGUUGGACUAUGGGAAUCCACACACCCUCAAAUUUGUGGAGCACUUUAUACGUUACAAAGCAGUUUCUGUGCAUGAAUUCCCACGAGUCUGCAGGCCUGUACCCUAGAGGGAGGAGGGGGAGGGGAGGAGGAGGAGGUGUGACCCCUCCCCACCCCCAGGUUAUAACAUGCCUGUGACCCACACACUUUACAACAUAACAUCCAGAUGUCCAAAAACAUUUUUUGUUAACUCUAUGAAAUUUGAUAGAAUGUGAAACAUGAUAGUACAUGAACUCAGUGACAUAAAUUGUAAAACAGAGCCCCAAGUUCUAUAUGUAAAAAUGCAGCCGUUUUUCCUGAAGGCUGAAACCCCCAACAAAGACCUGAGGGGUCUGGCGUGGGGGUCUACACCACCACCUCCUGGCUCUCCUCUCCUUUCUUCAAAGCAUUCCCCCACCCAGGAGGCGCCUUUCUCCCCAAACUUCGUAUUACUCACCAUGAAAAUCGAGGUUCCUAUGACUUUUCCACGGGCACAGAAUUCAUAAGUGAUAGAAUGCUCUUGCAAACUCAUGUCUUCUGCUGUUUAAAACAAGUGCUUUUUCUGCUACGUCACAGGAGGAAGAAUCCCUGUGGCCCACACCUGGCCAGACUCACCUGAACUCCCCCUCCGCGGCUCAGGGGGGAAGGCAGGGAGAAGUCGGAGGUGGGAGGCUAUUUGUUGCACUCCCUGUACCCACAGGCUGGGAGCUGCUGGUGGGUAGGUCUAAGCUGGGUAACCUCUGUGUGUCUCUUACUGGAGGCUGUGUUCAUUUUUGCUGAAAAGCUACAGCUGUUCAUACUCUGUAAAGUGUACAAAUCCAGAGGAAUGCGGAAGUUCGGGUGAUAGUACCAAUGAAACUCUCUCCUGUGAGACGAUAGGGACGCCUAUGCUCCUGAGAGAUGGCGGGGUUUGGGGAGAGGGAAGGCCAGGCUUCAGGGUCUCUUGCGCUGGUAUUUGAUGACAGGGCCAAAGCACGGGGCCCAGGAGCAGCCAGCAGGAGCGUGCUUCUUUUCCGCACCAGACUGGGCAAAGUUGCAGAGGCCAGCCAGGCUUGCACCAAAGUGACGGCUGUGAACACGGAGGCCUGGCUCCACCUUGUACCUCAGUUUUCUCACCGGGGACAGGGGAGAGCUAAACGAAGGCAGCCCUUUCCAGUCUAACAGCCCCUGACGUUCGCCCGGUUCAUGAGAGAAAACGGAGAGGGUUUGCUGGCAGCUUAGCAGCAUCACUGCGAGGGGGCUUUUCCCGCCCUGUUCCAUUAAAAAAUGGCUUCCAAAAUAACAUUACAAGAUUAGUAUGUGCCCAUGACAAAACUUUUAAAAAAU
rnacentral:lncRNA from 1 species